UACAGAGGGGGGCAAGCGUUUGUUCGGAAUUACUGGGCGUAAAGGGCGCGUAGGCGGCCUUCUAAGUCGAACGUGAAAUCCCCCGGGCUCAACCCGGGAACUGCGUCCGAUACUGGAAGGCUUGAAUCCGGGGAGAGGGAUGCGGAAUUCCAGGUGUAGCGGUGAAAUGCGUAGAUAUCUGGAGGAACACCGGUGGCGAAGGCGGCAUCCUGGACCGGCAUUGACGCUGAGGCGCGAAAGCCAGGGGGAGCAAACGGG
rnacentral:rRNA from 1 species